GUUUGAGGCUAGUGCCUAGUGUCCAACAAACCAUAGAGUAAGGAACUGAAGUUUAUACAGCAUUUAUAAUGACUCAACUGCCUCAAAUGCGUGAUGGCUGUAGCUACAGAAAUAUGCCAUUGGACAGAUGAAGUCUACUCCCCCAAAGCAAUGUAUGCUGCCUUGGAUCAAGAGUCAAGGGUGUGUUCUCCAUCAACAGAUGCUGAGACCUGCAGUUGAUGAGCUUCAAACAUUGUGUGUCUGGUAUUAAAAUGAACUGCUCUCUUCUAUAUGUGUGAGGGUUGUCAUCUCUGAAGAUAUCCAGCCAUCAAUUGAUGAGUAGAUGCUGAGACCUGUAGUUGAAGCUCCAAAUAGUGUGUCCGGUAAAUGAACUGCUCUCAACUUUAUCAAUACCAACUUAUUGAGACAGAGAGUGUCGGAUCUCCACUCACAUUCCAGUCCAUUACCAGUGGAGAUGCAGUGUUGGUCAACAGUAAUUUAGUCUUUGUAGCUUUGAAUUUAUAACUACUUGUAUCUGGGAUGGAUCUGAAGGUUUAAUAUAAUACCACCAAGAUAAUGAAGGCUUUUCUUGAAAGAGCAUCAUUGUCUGCAAGAUUGAAAUGUGCACAUCCUGAGUGUGGUGAAUCAUUCAUACUUCCCUUGUGUGGUGAUCUACCUACAUGUUUAUUUACCCAUGGUGAAUCAUUCAUACUUUCCUUGUGUGGUGAUCUACGUAUAUUUACCCAUGUUGAAUCGUUCAUACUUUUCUUGUGUGGUGAUCUAUCUAUAUUUUUGUUGUAUGGUGAAUCAUUCAUACUUUC